AUGAUAAGAGGCAGCCGGGCUAGCCAAGGAGACUGCCUGUACUAAUUAUAUCAUAUAUGUGCAUGAUCAGCUGCAAUCAAUCAAGAUUCAUAGACUGAUCACACGCACAUGCAUAUAUAUAGAUAUAUAUACACAGGCAAGUCAUCCUUGGCUACCAGAACUCACUCUCAUCG
rfam:Oryza brachyantha chromosome 8, whole genome shotgun sequence.